CGCUGGCGGCGUGCUUAACACAUGCAAGUCGAACGGAACUCUUUGGAUCGAGGCUUCGGCCAAGUGAAUCUGAGUUUAGUGGCGGACGGGUGAGUAACGCGUGAGGAACCUGCCUUUCAGAGGGGGACAACAGUUGGAAACGACUGCUAAUACCGCAUAACAUAUAGAGAUCGCAUGGUCUUUAUAUCAAAGAUUUAUCGCUGAAAGAUGGCCUCGCGUCUGAUUAGCUAGUUGGUGAGGUAACGGCCCACCAAGGCGACGAUCAGUAGCCGGACUGAGAGGUUGACCGGCCACAUUGGGACUGAGAUACGGCCCAGACUCCUACGGGAGGCAGCAGUGGGGAAUAUUGGGCAAUGGGCGCAAGCCUGACCCAGCAACGCCGCGUGAAGGAAGAAGGCUUUCGGGUUGUAAACUUCUUUUGUCAGGGAAGAGUAGAAGACUGUACCUGGCGAAUAAGCCACGGCUAACUACGUG
rnacentral:rRNA from 1 species